rnacentral:rRNA from 1 species
AGCAGCCGCGGUAAUUCCAGCUCCAAUAGCGUAUAUUAAAGUUGUUGCAGUUAAAAAGCUCGUAGUUGAAUUUCGGGACCAAUUUGUUGGUCGUGCCUCGGUACGUACUGGUAUUAUUGGUUUCUCCCUUCUGAAGAACCUUGAUGUCAUUAAUUUGGUGUCUUGGGGAAUCAGGACUGUUACUUUGAAAAAAUUAGAGUGUUUAAAGCAAGCAUACGCUUGAAUACAUUAGCAUGGAAUAAUGAAAUAGGACGUUUGAUUCUAUUUUGUUGGUUUCUAGGAUCGACGUAAUGAUUAAUAGGGAUAGUUGGGGGCAUUAGUAUUUAAUUGUCAGAGGUGAAAUUCUUGGAUUUAUUGAAGACUAACUACUGCGAAAGCAUUUGCCAAGGAUGUUUUCAUUAAUCAAGAACGAAAGUUAAGGGGAUCGAAGACGAUCAGAUACCGUCGUAGUCUUAACCAUAAACUAUGCCGACUAGGGGUCGGAUGAUGUUAAUUUUUAAUGUACUCAUUCGGCGCCUUA